UGGCGAACGGGUGAGUAACGCGUGAGGAACCUGCCUCAAAGAGGGGGACAACAGUUGGAAACGACUGCUAAUACCGCAUAAGACCACAGCACCGCAUGGUGCGGGGGUAAAAACUCCGGUGGUAUGAGAUGGACCCGCGUCUGAUUAGCUAGUUGGUAAGGUAACGGCUUACCAAGGCGACGAUCAGUAGCCGACCUGAGAGGGUGACCGGCCACAUUGGGACUGAGACACGGCCCAA
rnacentral:rRNA from 1 species